rnacentral:rRNA from 1 species
AUUCCCAGUGAAAUUGAAAUCGUAGUGAAGAUGCUACGUCCAAAUUGUUAGACGAAGAGACCCCAUUGAGCUUUACUGGAAACUUAUACGGCUGAAAUAUAUUUGCUCAUAAAAAAUAAUCUCAACAAGAUCUAUUAAGAGUGAGGAAAAAAAUAAACUUAAAUAAAUAGCUAAAAUUAUGUGGUGAAAGAUAUUUUAUCGAAGUUUUGUUUUUCGAUCCUUUUCUCAUAGAGAAAAAACAAUCUUAACUCAAAGACUUAGACUAAUGGAAACCACUCUUUUAUUUUAAGAGAGCUAACUCUUCUUUAUGAUGAGAGGAAUAAUGUAAGUUGGACAGUUUGGUUGGGGCGACCGCCUUUAAAAAAGUAACGAAGGUGAGCUUAAGGUGCAUAAUUAAUAGCAGUAGCCUGACUGCAAGGGGGACGUUCCGAGCAGACACUAGGAACCGUCAAGAAACUAUUGUUUGAUCCAGGCUUUUUGGUUCCCAUAAAGACUUAGAAAAACAAGUUCUUGGAGCGGAGGAAAGUGGGCUAUAAUGACCCGUUAAUU